GACGAACGCUGGCGGCGUGCUUAACACAUGCAAGUCGAACGGAAAGGCCCUGCUUUUGUGGGGUGCUCGAGUGGCGAACGGGUGAGUAACACGUGAGUAACCUGCCCUUGACUUUGGGAUAACUUCAGGAAACUGGGGCUAAUACCGGAUAGGAGCUCCUGCUGCAUGGUGGGGGUUGGAAAGUUUCGGCGGUUGGGGAUGGACUCGCGGCUUAUCAGCUUGUUGGUGGGGUAGUGGCUUACCAAGGCUUGGACGGGUAGCCGGCCUGAGAGGGUGACCGGCCACAUUGGGACUGAGAUACGGCCCAGACUCCUACGGGAGGCAGCAGUGGGGAAUAUUGCACAAUGGGCGGAAGCCUGAUGCAGCAACGCCGCGUGCGGGAUGACGGCUUUCGGGUUGUAAACCGCUUUCGCCUGUGACGAAGCGUGAGUGACGGUAAUGGGUAAAGAAGCACCGGCUAACUACGUG
rnacentral:rRNA from 1 species